CAGCAGGAUGGUAGAAGUUGUGUAUAACUGGAGAAGAAUUGUGAGGACUGGACUGACUUGGAGGGAGGAAAAACAUGGCAUCACCUUUUCCACCGAUUCAAAUGGAAGCCAAGAGAUAUCUCUCCUUUAAGUGUUAAUACAGGAUAUCUAAUUUAGAACUGGUGAUAAUGAGGAGUGUUAUUUUAUCCCAGUUAAUCUUCAUAAAGGCCAUGUUUCUUAAAAAUCUGUAUGGAUUUCUGCACAGAAAAAGAAACAGUGGUUAUGCUACUAUACC
rnacentral:lncRNA from 1 species